UAGGAGGUUCUACAUGAGGCA
rnacentral:piRNA from 1 species